UACCUGUUGCGCUAUGAAGGUGGACGUGAAGUUGCCCACAUUGACAUUCAACUACGUUUAAGACAAGCCCAGCAGUUAGUACCAUAACUAUAUAUAUAUAGUGUCAGUAGAAAUUGAUAAAGAACGAAAACAAGGCCUCGUUUAAAACAAAGUAUAUAACAAGAUUAAAUGAAAUUAAAUAACUUUAUCACAAGAGGCACCUGUUCACAUCUUGUCUAACCGACCAAUCACCUAGACUGUAACAAAUACCUGUCGGAAGUUGUCACAUGGUAUAAAACAGGUGUGCUAAUUUUUUCUUCUUUUCUUCUUCUUAGUAUUAUAUUCCGUGUCCCACAUCCUGGUGUGAAUGAGGAAAUCAGUUUGUUGACCAUGCCGGCCGCUAGUGUUGAAACUGGCUUCUCGGCCUUUAAGCAAGUUGUAAAUAACUUGGACGAUUUGGAAGAGUCAGCAGGGGCAGAUGAAAGGGACAUAGACUUUUUGAAAAAUUUUCUGCUUGAUGAAAAAAUACAAAAUUUAGUAUUGGCACACGAUAAACUUGAAGAAACUCCUAUAGAAGCAGAGAACAAUAAAUCAUUGAAUCUUCAAGUUGAAGCAUUAAAAAUAUUAUCUGAACAUUCCUCAACAAAUGAAAAUGCUGCAGAAUUGUGGGAUAUUUUGAAGGAUAAUCACGUACAGUCACUGUUACUUGCUCACGACGAAAUAUCGAAAAAGAAUUUUGAUGAAGUCAACACCUUCCAGCUUGAUUCACCUCCUCCUCCAGUAUUUUCCUUAGUUGAAGGUUCCAUUCGGUUAGUAAGAAUAAGGAAGAACAAGAACGAACCGCUGGGUAUCAUCGUGAAACUUGAUGAGAAUAAUGAACUUGUUGUAUCCAGGAUUAUGAAUGGCAGCUUAAUUGCUAAACAAGGUCUUUUACAUGAAGGUGAUAUUAUUAAAGAGUUUAACGGAACAGAAGUCCAUACACCAGCCCAGCUUAUGGAUAAUAUUAAAAAUGCUGAAGAGGGUAUUUUCUUAACAAUCAUACCAAACAUGCAACGACAAUCUUUUCAUGAAAGUCUGUUUAUCAAAACUCAUUUUAAUUAUGAUCCAAUGCGAGAUCGGCUUAUACCUUGUAAAGAAGCAGGAUUACCAUUCAAGGAUGGAGAUAUCUUGGAGAUUUUGAGCCAAAAUGAUGCUAAUUGGUGGCAGGCUCGUAAAGUUGAUAGUAAAGGAAGUGCUGGCAUUAUACCAUCUCGCUCUCUUGAAGAAAAGAGGAAAGCUUUUGUUUGCCCAGAAUAUGACAAUUCAAAGAGUUUCUUUUGCGGUUUGAGGAGGAAAAAGAAGGUGAAAUACAGUACCAAGAACAACAAAGAUUUUGAUGCCUGUGACUUGAUGAUUUAUGAAGAGGUUAUUAAAAUGCCCCAGUUUCAACGAAAGACUUUAGUACUGGUUGGUGCAACGGGUGUUGGACGUCGAUCAUUAAAAGAACGGCUGAUAAAAAAUGAUCCCAGGUUAUUUGCUGCUGCCAUGCCUCAUACUUCUAGGGCUCCCCGAGAUGGAGAGAAACAUGGCCAGGGUUACUUUUUCAUGGAACGAGAAGUAAUGGAAGAAGAAAUAAGAAAUGAGAAAUUCCUUGAACAUGGCGAAUACAAUGGCAAUUUGUAUGGCACCAAGAUUGAAACAAUAUUGGAUGUUAUCAAUUCUUCAAAGAUGUGUGUUUUAGAUGUCAACCCUACGUCUUUGAAAAUUUUGAAAACUGCAGAAUUUUUACCCUUCAUUGUGUUCAUGGCUGCUCCAAGUGCAGAUGUGUUAAGAGAGAUGCAUGAGCUUGGUAAACAAGCUAGAGGCUACAGGGGACGUAUGGAGUUAAAAACUGAGGAAGAUUUUCUAGGAAUGGUUGAUGAAAGCAUGCAGAUAGAACAAGUUUAUAAAAGCUAUUUUGACUUGAUUAUUAUUAAUGAUGACUUCAAUCAGUCAUACCAGUCGUUACGCGAGGCAAUUGAUGAACUCAGCAAUGAAACACAAUGGGUCCCUUCUAACUGGAUCUACUAACAACACACCUCAAUUGACCAUUUCAUACCUGAUUCGCAGAAACUUUGAGGUUCAUAUUUUUAUAGAACAAGUCUUAACUAGAUUUUAAUAUGCAACCUUAAAAUAUCACAUAUGUAUGUAUACAUAAUAUAUAGAAAGAGAGAAAGAGAAAAAUGUUUCAUUGAAUAAAACUUUUUAAAGGGAGAUCAUUCCAAAAGCCUGUGACCACAAUUUAAGUCUGCAUGGCUGAAAUUAAAAUAUAUCAAGUCCGAGCCACGAUAGGAAAACAUUUGCUGUUGAGCAAGCUUUUAUUUUUAUAAAUUGAAAUACUUUUUUUCAUCAAUAACCAUUUCUUCAUAAAGUAUUUCCUAAGAAAAAUAGAAUUAAAAGUUAAUGGAUAGGGAAAUGAUAAUUUUAAGUGCCAAAUUUGUGAUGCAGUUUACAUUCUUACUGAAGUUGUCCAUGAUUCUAAUGCACUGCUCCAAUCAGAUGUAUGUUGAGAGAAAACAGGAGUUUCUGUUUAAAUUCAUAACAGCAUAAUAUUUCAAAUAGUGAAAUCAUACCAGGAUAUUGGUUAUCUAGAAGUGGUGGUGGAAUCAAAUUUGUGAAAGAAAAAUCUGCUUGUGAUUAGUAGAUUGAAGUAAAUUUUGAUUUUUCUCUAUCAACAUUUUGGACUUGGUACAAAAAAAAACCCCAAAAAAACAUGAAAUUGAUU